rnacentral:rRNA from 1 species
CCUACGGGCGGCUGCAGUGAGGAAUAUUGGUCAAUGGACGAGAGUCUGAACCAGCCAAGUAGCGUGAAGGAUGACUGCCCUAUGGGUUGUAAACUUCUUUUGUACAAGGGUAAACCUGAAUACGUGUAUUCAGCUGAAAGUACUGUACGAAUAAGGAUCGGCUAACUCCGUGCCAGCAGCCGCGGUAAUACGGAGGAUCCAAGCGUUAUCCGGAUUUAUUGGGUUUAAAGGGUGCGUAGGCGGAUUGAUAAGUUAGAGGUGAAAUGUCCGAGCUUAACUCGGGAACUGCCUCUAAUACUGUUGAUCGAGAGAGUAGAUGCGGUAGGCGGAAUGUAUGGUGUAGCGGUGAAAUGCUUAGAGAUCAUACAGAACACCGAUUGCGAAGGCAGCUUACCAAGCUAUAUCUGACGUUGAGGCACGAAAGCGUGGGGAGCAAACAGGAUUAGAUACCCCUGUAGUC